rnacentral:rRNA from 1 species
AUUGAACGCUGGCGGCAGGCCUAACACAUGCAAGUCGAACGAGUGGCGGACGGGUGAGUAAGGUCUGGGAAACUGCCCGAGGGAGGGGGCUAACUAAUGGGAACGGUAGCUAAUACCGCAUACCAUCGGUUGCGCCCAGAUGGGACUAGCUAGGAGGUGGGGUAACGGCUCACCUGGGCGACGAUCCCUAGCGGGUCUGAGAGGAUGACCAGCCACACUGGAACUGAUACACGGUCCAGCCUCCUACGUGAGGCAGCAGUGGGGAAUAUUGGACAAUGGGCGAAAGCCUGAUCCAGCAAUGCCGCGUGUAUGAAGAAGGCCUUCGGGUUGUAAAGUACUUUCAGCGAGGAGGCGUUACUCGCAGAAGAAGCACCGGCUAACACCGUGCCAGCAGCCGCGGUAAUAC